rnacentral:snRNA from 1 species
AUACUCACUGGCAGGGGAGAUGCCAUGAGCACGAAGGUGGGUUUCCCAGGGCGAGGCUUAUCCGCAGGCUGACCCCUGCGAUUUCCCCCAGUGUGGGAAACUCGACUACAUCAUUUGUGGUAGUGGGGGACUGCGUUCGCGCUCUCCCGAG